rnacentral:lncRNA from 1 species
GCGUAUUAAACCCUCUAAUUCCUCUUGAGGCGGCUCGCGUCUUAGGGGACAUCUCGGUACCUAGAUAACAACAAACACUCUUCAAAUAACUAUUAAAAAUCAUUAAUAAAUGUGGCUUACUAAGAUUAGGGAAUUCAUGUAGCCUUCUAUCCAAAAUUCAUGUUGCAAUCAUGAACCAUGGAUAAGACUCUACACUACCCCAACACUCCGCUGAUAACACAAGAAAUCUUAAGACUUUUCUAAACUUAGGGCUCUGAUACCAAUAUUGUAAUGACCCCUUCUUGAUCGCUACCGGAGUCUAAGACUUCUAAAGAAUUUUUACUACGUCCCGAACAAGCCUCUUUUAAAACUUUCGCUAGAUUCAUUAAAUACAUAUAAUCAAAUCACGUGCGUAAGCGAAUAAUAAUAAUUAAAUUACUAUCUACUCCAUUCAAAAUAAUAACAAUUCAUGUUUAUAAGUUAACAACAUUUUUUUUCAACAUCUAGCAAUUUUGUUCCGACACAACCCCAUACAGUGGAGUGACUCAGAGCGGGGUUAAGAGAUGCCUUUACCUACUCUGCGGUGGUACAUAUGCACCGAUAAUUACACAUUAGACUGAGUCUCAUAGAAUCAGUAAUCAUCAUCGACCCCGUGAGCAGGCGAGGAAGGGAAACAAACAUAAAGGUGGAAUGUUUAUAAACCCAAGAGUAAGCAUAGAAAAUACAUUCCAUAAAACUGAGAGAUUUUUGUUUUUAUACCUUACAAUUCUUAAAAAUAAUAAUUUCCAAAUAAACAUGUAUGAAAACAGUUGUAUUUAGGAUACUAGAAAAUCUUUCAACCACGACAUCCAGUCGACAUUAAAUUCAAUGGCAAGUGAAAAAUAAAAAUUCUUAAAUAUAAAAAGGCUGAUUUAAUUGAUCACUAAUGAAUAGGUAAAUUUCACUUGCCAUUAAAUAAAUAAAAAUUUUCAAGUAUUAAUGCCAUGCAUAGUGAAAUAAAAAUCUAUAAAUGAGCAUCAUACUCUGGUAGGUUUAAUAUAGCUCUUAGGCUUACUCUCUCAAAUAUCACCACAUACUCGUGGGAACUACCCACGCCACCAUAUAUAAAUUAGGCUUCCGGUCUCCCUUUUUGCCUACUCGUGGGAUCUACCCAUGCCACCAUAUAUCAAUCGAGGCUUCAGGUCCCCCUUUGCCUACUCGUGGGAUCUGCCCAUGCCACCAUAUAUAAAUUGGGGAUUCAGGUCCCCUUUUGCCUACUCGUAGGAACUGCCCACGCCACCCAAUAUGAAUCAGGGCUUCAGGUCCCCCUUUUACAAUCAAAUAUAAAAAAUUAUUGCAAUUUCAAGCAUUUACAAAGCAUAAUAGUUUGUAAACAAUAUAAUCAUAAAUCAAUAUUAUGCAUAUUUUAUCUCAAAGCAUGAUAUAUUUACCAAAUCAGCUUGCUAAUUGAAAAAUAUAAUCUAUCAUCAAGUUUUAUGAAUCAAUACAAAGGCCACUGGCCUAAACACCACACAAACUUCCAAGGUAUGAUUUUGAAGUGAAAGCCAGUCAAAAGUUUGUUUCCCCAUAUUUAAAAACAUGUAGAUAUAUAUACUUAUAUAUAUUUUAAUGAAAAGCGGAUAUAAAAUCCUUGUUACAAGCACAAACAACCUAAAGCUUUCUACCAACUCAUGCUGUUCACAAUUUCGUCAACUAUCAAAUGUAACAUAUAUAAUAUAUUAUAGAAAAAUAAUUUUAAAAUCUAGCACCGACUCACCUCACAAUAGCGAGACGCUACUUCGCUAUUGGUUCUUGCGUAUAUUUGGCAAUUCUCUCUCUUUUUUUCUCCUCUGCCGCUACUUUUUCUCUCCUUCUCUUCUUUUUCUUUCUUCCCUCUCCUUUUUCUCCUUUGUCGUUGCUCCUUCUCUCCUUCUUCUUUUUUUUCUUUCUCUUCUUUCUUCCCUCUCUUUCUUCUCUUCUACCGCUGUGCUCCCUUUCCAUUUCUUCUUCUUUUCUCUUUCUUUUUCCUCUCUCUUUUCUCUCCUCGUCGUUUUGCUCCCUCUCUCUUUCUUUUUCUCUUUCUCUUUCUUUUUUCUCUAUCCUUUCUCUCCUCGUCACUGUGCUCACUCUCUAUUUCUUCUUCUCUUUCUUUUUCUUUUUCCUCUCUCUUUUCUCUCCACAUCGUCGUGCUCACUCUCUCUUACUUAUUCUCUUUCUCUUUCUUUUUCCUUUCUCCUUUCUCUCCUCAUCGUCGUGCUCCCUCUCUCUUUUCUCCCCCUCAAGCCCCCUACUCUCUUCCUUCUCUUUCCUCUUUUGUCUUUUUAUGAGUGGGGCAUCACAUGUGCUUUCGUGCAAACUCUGGGGGUUAUCAUUAGAUGUGGGGCGCAUGGUAUAGGGAAGUCAAAACUGACACAUUUUAUCAUUAGGCUUUUGGAAAAGGAAGUUAUUUAGUGGCGUGAAGAAAACUGUGGAAGUGUUCUAGUCCAGCUUGAUGGACAUGGGGAGUUCAGCAUUUUAGAUUCGAGUAGUGACACCGAGUAAAUUAAUUAAUGUAAUAUCAGCCACAGGUUUUCCUUAUCA